rnacentral:rRNA from 1 species
GAACGCUAGCGGCAGGACUUAAACAUGCUAAGGUUGGAGGGGCAGCAUGAUAUACGGCGAGUAUAUUGAUGGGCGACCGGCGGACGGGUGAAGUAAUAGGGUAGGAGACCUACCUCAUACAGGGGGAUAGCAUAGAGAAAUCUGUGGUAAUACCCCAUGAGGUUAUAUGAAUAGAGGCAUAUAAUCAAAGCAUAAGCGAUUAUGCGGUAUGAGAGGGGCCUACUGACCAUUAGCUAGUUGGUGAGGUAAGGGCUCACCAAGGCGAAGAUGGUUAGGGGUUUUGAGAGAGAGACCCCCCACAUUGGAACUGAGAGACGGUCCAGACUCCUACGGGAGGCAGCAGUAGGGAAUAUUGGGCAAUGGGCGAAAGCCUGACCCAGCCAUGCCGCGUGAAGGAAGACGGCCUUAUGGGUUGUAAACUUCUUUACUACGCGAAUAGAGGUUAGUACGAGAUACUAAUAGGAAGGUAGUGUAGUAAAAAGCACCGGCUAACUCCGUG